AUACAAGGGACCUAGGAAUGCGUGGAUCCCGAAAGUUCAACUCCACAGAAAGAGUCAUGCUAUAUUAUAUGGAGCCCAUUCUCAAUAACACCAGCAUCGGGCCCGCAUUCAUUCGGUGCCAAGUGGAGAACUUUCGGGCCGCACAGACCGGAAAUGGUGUGACUAUGAACGCUGUCUGCAACUACCAGAAAGAUCUU